rnacentral:misc_RNA from 1 species
GAUGAAGAACGCAGCGAAACGCGAUAAGUAAUGUGAAUUGCAGAAUCCAGUGAAUCAUCGAAUCUUUGAACGCACAUUGCGCCCGCUGGUAUUCCGGCGGGCAUGCCUGUUCGAGCGUCAUUUCAACCCUCAAGCCCCCGGGUUUGGUGUUGGGGAUCGGCUCUGCCCUUCUGGGCGGUGCCGCCCCCGAAAUACAUUGGCGGUCUCGCUGCAGCCUCCAUUGCGUAGUAGCUAACACCUCGCAACUGGAACGCGGCGCGGCCAUGCCGUAAAACCCCAACUUCUGAAUGUUGACCUCGGAUCAGGUAGGAAUACCCGCUGAACUUAAGCAUAUCAAUAAGCGGAGGA